rfam:Triticum aestivum genome assembly, contig: Triticum_aestivum_CS42_TGACv1_scaffold_362071_4DS
UCUUUGUUUGGAGAAGUCCAUAGGAAGGGGAGUUGAAAAUAAGCAUAGAUCCGGAGAUUACCAAAUAGGUCAACCUUUUAAACUGCCUGCUGAAUCCAUGAGCAGGCAAGUGACAACCUGGCAAACUGAAACAUCUUAGCAGCCAAAGGAAAAGAAAGCAUGU